AUUGAACGUUGGCGGCGUGGAUUAGGCAUGCAAGUCGAGCGAGAACCCGCAAGGGGGACAGCGGCAAACGGGGUAGUAAUGUGUCGGAACGUGCCCUCUGGACGGGGAUAGCGGCGGGAAACUGCCGGUAAUACCCGAUGAACUCGAGAGAGCAAAGGUGUGAUUCCGCCGGAGGAGCGGCCGACAUGGUAUUAGCUAGUUGGCGGGGUAACGGCCCACCAAGGCUGUGAUGCCUAGGGGAUGUGAGAGCAUGAUCCCCACCAUUGGGACUGAGACACUGCCCAGGCACCUACGGGUGGCUGCAGUCGAGAAUCUUCGUCAAUGGGCGAAAGCCUGAACGAGCGACGCCGCGUGCGGGAUGAAGGCCCUUGGGUUGUAAACCGCUGUCGAGGGGGAUGAAGGCAUUCAGGUACUCCUGAAUGUUUGACAGAGCCCUGGAGGAAGCACGGGCUAAGUUCGUGCCAGCCGCCGCCGUAACAC
rnacentral:rRNA from 1 species